CUGCCAGGGGGAUACCGACAAAAACACACAAACACAUUGAACCUGAUGGACACACACGCAGCUCGUCUGUGCUCAGUGACCUUGGCGGGCACCCGGAAGAGGAAGGGAGGGGACACACAGCUGACAGUCUGACAGCUGGGUGAAACUAUUGCCACAGUGUCUCAUCCAGCAUACACAUGCCACGUAUUACUUCUCAUUAUGGACUGGGCAGAAUAAUACAUCGCUAACAUAGAAUGACUGCACAAGGAUCUGAGUGGAUCGAAAUGUGACAACAAGGUAUCAAUUCACAUACUGGGCAAGUCUGACAGGAGGAUGGGAAAAACAGUGGCAGCAACAUGCUCUGGUCUAUGUCACUUCUCAUCGCGACCAAUGAGAGCCCACCUAGGUAUCAAUUCACAAUAAAAGGGAGCUGGUCGGGACUACAGGAUGUUAAGCACAUGGCUGCCAUCUGCAAGAAGGGAGAUUACUGAGACAAGCUACAGUGACAGCAUGACCGCCAGGACCACAAUCCAUCUCUGCUCCUCUGAUCCAAGGAAAUCAUGCUAAUCAUGCCCUCUCAUGUCGCCAUCUGGUGGUCAAAACAUGCACCACAGCAAUAACUUGCAACGUCAUCUAUCUGUAUGCUCGGAGGUCUGGGCAAAAAAACAUAUUUUUAUACUCACCCCUCCCAUUGUUAUCCCAUCAAUAAGGGCCACAUAUGGUUUCUGACAUGUUCCUUAAAAUAUGAAAUAAAAUGUAAGUCAAAGCAAGUGUUGUAGAAAAAGUCACCGAUAGCCAAACUAGGGAAACAGGUGCU